GGAGCGACGAUGAUGAUGGUGAUGACGAUGAUGAUGAUGGUGAAGAUGGCGAGGAUGACGACGAUGAUGAUGAGGACGAGGAUGAGGAGGACGAGGAAGAUGAGGACCAGCCGCCGGCCAAGAAGAAGAAAUGAUCUGCCUUCCUGCUGUCAGUGUUUCAGUCCGUUAGUUUGUCUGCUGUCUAGAUGAUGAUUGAGCGGGUCUGGUACACACCGACCUAUGUAGCUUCUGUGUCGUGGUGGUUUGGUGUCUCAUAGGGUAGAACAUUGAACUUCUAAUGUUGUUUCCUGCGUUGUGCAAGUAGUCUUAACAUUUCGGUGUUGAUGUGCUGUGUUUAUUGGAGCUGUGAUACCAUUCAAUCUAAUUCUUGUUACUCCAUGUUGUCACAUGUGCUUUGAAUGGCUUUUGGGUUCAACUUGUAUGAAAUCCAAUUUCUUUAUGCUUCUUGUGAGUGAAUAAUCAGAGUUUGUAUGACUGCUAUCUGAAUGUUUGGAUUUGGAUAACCUGGAAGGAAAAGGCGCGUCAAUCUAACAGAAGAACCGAAGAAGCAUUUGAGACAUUCCGUUCUCGCGAUCUCAGUGUUUCAGGAUGGGACAACAGAGCUCCCAGCAAUGGAAAACAGUGACAGGCACUUCCAUUCCAAAAUUGUGCCAGAACAUAACUAAACAUACGUGCACCGCAGAAAAGGCCUAUACAACAUACAGAGAUCUCUACCGUAUAUGGACGCCCAUGCGGCAUGUACAUACACUGUCUACUUGUUCCUACCAGUCUAUCCAGUGCCCAGGAGCUCACACAAAUUUGCUGGGCAGGGUGAGCUAAACUCCCAACGGAUUUUCCUUCUGAAUGGCCCUUUGACUACUGAUUACUCUCUCUUAACGACUCUGAUGCCAACUUGUUGAAAUCCUGGGGCUCGCUGCUGGCAAAUGUCAACCAGACGGCAGUGCCCGUUAAGUAGAAGAAGAUCGAAGGAGCAAAGAGCGACAUCUGCACAUAUACAAAAGACGAUAAUGAGUUGUUAGAAUGAUACGUGAUAGAAAAUACAGGUCAAGGAGAUGGAUCAGAUUUGUGGUGUUGGCAAGCAUACACUCCAAGAAUGAGUUGUGUCGACAAGAUAGCCGACUAGCGCGACACCAACGAUUCCAGGCACGGCCCCUACGGUGUUUGUGAUUCCCUGGAAUGCAAAGGCAGUGAGUCAACAAAUACCAAUAGAAGAAAUCGCCUUUUUCUUUUGCCAACUCUGCUUCCCCUUUCCACCGUUUGAAUUAUACAGACUCGUUAGAGAUUGGCACUGAAACUACCAAAAGUGAAAACUCUAGGAUGCGUUUAGACAAGGGAUAUUCCUCUGGAAAUGUUUAGCAUUUAUCAGCAUCAGAUAAAUCUGAAGGGUUUUGAUUCCGAAUCCCUGUCCAGGGUUUGAUAUAGUAACACAAUUACAACCAACUAUCUGGUCCAAACAAAGGGGGAAAGAGAGCAAGGAAUUUUGUUUUCUUUUUACCAUCCCAUUUUUACAAGACAAACGCAGAAAAAUCCUGAAGAGUUUUAAUACCAAAUAUAAGUUGCAUGCCUUACCAGGAGAAUGCUUGCAUAUUCACGUGAUAUAUCUUGAUGGGUGCAAUAAAGACCUGUUUGUAAGCAAAAACAUUAAGAUUUUGGACCUUGGAAACAUGGCAGGAAAAAGAAUGGAUGCAAGCUUAGCACAAUUACCUGAUAAUGCGAAGUUGGAGAGUGAUAUACCACCCGUAAGGAAAGCAACAACUACCCAGGGAGGGAGUCCAAGAUCGACAGAGGAAAGCAUCAUAAAAGCUGCAGGUGACAGAAACGCAAUUGCUUGACAUAUUUUCCGUACCUACAAAAGAAAUUAAUCAACUUAGACUCAACUUUUUCAUUAUCCUGUAAAAAGGCCUUAUUUACACAAGAAAACUGGACAUCUCAUGGCAAUUUGCAGUGAUGAUUUUUAAACAUUCCAACCUUUACAAAUGAACUCUAGGAGCAUCCAUAUAGGAACCUAAUAAAGGGGGCCAACUAAAAUCAGAGCAAGCAGAUUUUUAUUUAUUCCUUUUUCAUCUUCAAGGCAAUGAUUUACCUUUGUGGUGUCAACUCCACUUGAUAUCAAGUUGUCUGCAAAAGGUGCUGCAAUAGAUGUAAUAACCAUCGAGCCCAAAGGAGGAAGAAUUGACACCUACAACAAAUACCAAAUAUGGGACUUCAUAAGACAUGAGACUGGAGCAGUAGUCGUAAAUGAAAAACAAGGACACGACAUGAUCACAUAGUAAGAACGAGGAGGGAUAUGAGGCUUUCACUACAAGGGUGUUCCUGUAAUUAUAAGAAAUGAAAGCAUGUACAUACCCAUGCAGCGUCUGUCAAGUUCAAGUUUAGCUCCUCACUGCAUAAGAAUUGAACAGGAAUAUAUCACAAAAAAGCAAGGACGUUGUUACAAAUAUUUAACAUAAUGUGCUGAACAGCAGAAAGAAGAUUGGAUUCCUCCAAACAUUUUGCUGGACUUCUAAAGCAUCAUUAAAUUGACGUAUCACAACAAAUGCAACUAUGAUAUGAAAGCAGCUAUGCAAUACAGCGACCCGUGAAUCUAUAAUGUCCAGUCUCAACUUGAGCACAAGUUUCAGAAAAUUUAUGUGUAAAAAUCUCCUGUUUUAUUUGGUUCUAUCUUUGUUGAAGUCAAUCCACUUUCAGAAAACUGAACUGAACGAGUAGGAAAAGUGUGCACAUGCAAGAAAGUUGUUCAUAUAGGGUGUUAACACACUGAAAAGUUAGUGAACGAAAUCCUAGCAAUUUGAUCUCAAUAGUAGCACCAAAAUGUUGAAUAGUAAAAGAAAUAGGUGUGUCCAACUCACUAGGGACAGUUCAUGAAAAUAAGACAGUUGGUUAAUCGAAAGGGGAUACACUGAGUGAAAAAUGACAACACAAAUAUGCAAAGUGCCAAACCUAAAGAAUGUUGGAAGCCAAGACAAGCAAGUAUAGUGGCCCCAGCUUCCACAAAAGUGAGUGUAUAUCAUUGCCCACACUGCCUUGCUUUUAAAGAAUUCCCCCCAGGGCACAUCCUACAACACAAAGGAUAAAACUUGCUAUAUCAGUAAUGUUUGUGAAUCAAGCACCUACACUAUUUAAUACAUAAUAAUGCAUCACUCCCACCAACAGGGUCACCUUAUUUUAUUGGGAGUUAUAAAUUACAUCUACAGCUAAGUGAAAUAGGUCACAGCACUCGUGCUGAACUGUUGCUUGAUGGGGGAAAGCCCAACAUGUACUAUAUACAACUUCCAAACAGGGAAAGGCUCAGUGGUAUGCCUUUAAUGUCAUGCAAGUUAACAAAAGCAUAGUUAUGUGCUGUAGUUAGACCAAGAUGGCCAUGUGAUACAGGUGAAAAAUUCCUUAUCUGGAAGGCACAGUUUUCGUUGGUUUGUUGGCUCAUCGUUAUUACAAAAUGAUGUCUUCCAAGUACAGUGAGCAUCUUUCUGCAACCCCACUGAAGUCUAUAGCAGCAUUUAUAUUUGGCAGUCUCACCACACAGCAGCAACAGACUAGCAGAACAGUCUAUUGGCUAUUCUGGGCAUAUAGUAAACAAAACUAAGAAUGGCAUGUAAACAAAGAGAUUAAAAUAAAUUUUCAUUUGAGCAAAUUAAAUUGCAGAAGCUAGCACAAAAUCUACACCAAUGAUAGUUUCGAUUAUAUUGCACAUACUAACUACUUGAGAGGAUUCUCGAGUCUUCACACUUUUACAACAGCAAACAGUUCAGACAAAUUCACAAUUUGAAACACUCUAGCAACCAACAUAUUUCUUGCAAAUGAACUGAAAAGUUUCUCAGAUCAUUUGAUGUAGUUUGGUGUAUCCCACGAACUAAAAAGGCUACCACAUUAGUUGAUGUAUCUUGAUUCUGGAACUUUUUCAUCGAUCUCACAACUUUGUAACACUUUUAACUUGAUUCAUGUCUUCUAUGUUCUAACAAAGAGGUUAAGUGACAUGCCAAUAGCUACUUUUCAACUGGUGGAAAAAACUCUGUAGUGAAUCUGUCAGCUCUCAAACCUUUAGUGAGUCUGUCAUCUCUUCAAGUGAUGAGUCCGAUGACUUUGAAGGCACAGAUGAUGAGAUAUGACCAUUAGAUCCAGCAGAAGUAUUUUCAAGAUCUGUAAAGUAGAUGAUAUUUUCAGGUAUUAUAGUUGAAAUUUUGUACUUAUUGCGCAGAAAUAGUAAGAUCGUAAUGAACAAAUAUUUUUAGCAAACAGGUACAGCUAAGCUCAUAGAAUACUUAAUACUAAACAUAUUGAAUGCUAUUUUGUAAUAGUAUCAAUAAAUCUAGUGCAAACCACACUCAAAACAUAAUCAUGCAACCAUAUUGGUUAGUACAUCAAAUCAAUUUGGAACUACCAAAUUUGAGGUAGUCCUCAAUGUAUCUGCUGCACAACUGAAAUUUCUCAUAUUUAAAACUGAUUAGUGUUAGAUUGAAAGGAUGAUUUUCUGACAUAAAUCCAUGUCAGCAUCACAUUGAUCUCCCUUUUCUCUCUUCCAGUUUAACAGCUGCUUAAUAGACUACAUGGGUGACGCUUUGCUUCUCUCUUUUUUGGGGGGAAUUUUUCAAGUUACCUUGAUGCUCAAACAGUCAGAAGCGCACAUAUAGGAUUUGCCACGAUACGUAAACUUGGGUCAGGCAUGGCACUUAUGUUAGAUCAAACUUGACAUAGAGGUUAUGAAGACCAGAUUGUACAAUCAUGAUCACAAGAUCAAACCAAACCAACAACCUGGCUAUACAAGGUUGCCAAAUAUUCUACAGUUCAUAUACGAUCACACAAACCAAGAUGGUUUGGGUAAUUGCAUCAAGCUAUGAUUUUUCACUAGAUAUGUCAUAUCUGCUUAUGAAAAAAAACACAAUGAUAUCAUUAAGGCCACAAUAUGAUUCCUUCAGCUAAACUAGCAUGCCACAAUUCAUUUUCUUCUAUAAACACAUACAAACGGAGUAUAUUGAAAAAGAGAUAUGAUUAGAAGUAACAUUCAUUGCAAGUUUCAAUGGACAGUUUCUAUCAUGGUUGUUAAGACUUGUAAAAAUAGAUGUGCACUUACUUAAUAUGUCUUCAUUGUCACCUGGCUGUAGUUCUUGUACAGAUUCAAAUACUAGACACCUGUGGAAAUGAAAGAAGAUGAAGCUAAACCAGAAGAAAUAUUCAAUUAUGUGCUGCUAAGAAUUUUUUUGCUUACCAUAUAAUUCCAAGAAGACCAAAUAUGUAAAAGACAGAUUCCCAGCCAAGGUUCUGAAUGAUGGGAGGGGCGAACAGAAGUCUGUAAUAUUAUCAUAGACCAGGAGUUAACUAUCUCGUACCAUUGUCAAUUAAGUUAUGUAACAUAAUGUCAUACAGUCAAAAUGCAAUGCAAUGUUGUUUUAGAACCAAGCAAAAAGUUACAUCAGGUUACAAAGGUCUGAUAAUCUAUCAGGAUUUCUGUAAAGAUGAAAGUUUCUGCUUAGACCCCAAAACUUUUACGUGCAUCUGAAUAUAUCUAGAAAAUACUGCAAAACACUUACCCUAAGACACUUCCAAAGGCUAAACCACCAAAAACAACAGAAACCGCUCUUGAUCUUUCUUGAAGAGGAAUGGUCCUGCAUGUGCAGCCAUAGCAGUUAAACAUGCAAUAAUAAUGUAUGAGAAUGAUGCUUCUCAAGUUUAAUAUGUUUAUUCUAUAUUCUUCCAGAGAGCAGCAAUAAUUCUACUGCCCUCUAUCAUGUUCAAUAGAAUUAAGAUCUCAGCAGGGAGAUGAAGGUAGUUUUCUAUUGGAUUUCCUUUAAGCAUAGAACAAGUAAUACAUAGUUCUUUUUUCUUUCAUAAACGUGUCAACAGAGACGCUACAUCAUAUCCACAGUUCCACACCAAUGGCAACUGAACCAUUGAGAAAGUUAUGCAAUAUAAUCGUCAUAAAAAAUCCAGAAUAAGACGUACAUCAAUCUUUUGUGUAUUUCAAUAAAAGAACGUGAAUAGCUGCCACCUGCGAUUUAGCGCAGGUAGCUAAAAAAGAAUCCAUCUAAACAUUAAAUAUCCACAAAAACAAUGCCAAUACACUAGUUAGCUAGCGAAGAGUGUGUAGUCACAAGAUUCACCAUCAUCGAUACAGGGUAUUUCUAAUAAAUAUCUCUACAACUACAUGAGAACCCUGAAAUUCCUCCUUAAAAUUUUAGGAAGCAGCCUGAAAUUCACAUGAAGGAGAUGUAAAUGGUAGCCUGCGUCCGAGGAGAAGGUAUUUUAGGCUUACCGUGCAAUUAAAUCUGUAGCUGCUGAUGGUGAGACUCCUUCUCCAAUGCCUACCUAGCAUACCAACAAAGUUAAAAUGAAUAAAUACAAGGAUAAUAUUUAAAUAGUAAAUUAUUACUAGGAACACUCCCCGUACGGACAUUUAGAUGUGAUAAAGAAACUAGGUAUUGUCAUCGCAUGGGAAUGCUCCAAAAACCAAAGUUGACAUGCAGGUAUUGCAAUAAUGCAUGGGGUGCUUCAUAUGGUAAGGUGGAGGGACACUUAUUUGCACCAAAACACAUUUUUAUACAUAAAUAUGAUACACCUGCCACCUGGAAAUGUGCAUAUGAAAUAAUAUAGCAAUCAUCAUCUUAACAAAAUGUUUUUAUAGGUAACCCAAUCUAUGCUAAUUUAUGCUAAGAAUACACAGAAACGUUAACCCAAAUAAUAACAGCCAUCACUCUCGGAUGAAAGUAUGCUUUGUAAGGGUAUGUGUUCCUAAUACAAAAAUGAAACCAAUUGUACAAAACAUGGUAAAAAAAAGCACAAAAGAAGUUAAGUGUACCGGAUCAUAUGUGAACAAGAAGUUUCUAGAGGCUAACUAAUGAGUAGAGGUAUACCAGAAUCCUUGAUAACACAAGUCCUGGCAUGAAUCCAGCUACAACAGGAAUAACAGCUGUGGCCAAAGACCACACAAGAACACCGGCCUUAAGCACUGUCCUGCAAUUAGCAUAUGAGAAAAACAAUUAUUGCAAUAUGAAAAUGAAUAAUAUGCAUUAUAUGAGAAAUAUAAGAUGAGAAAAAGCAUAUGAUCAAAUUAUAAGAGAUGGCCUUUGAGUUAUGCAAGAAGCGCCUGCUAAACAAGUUACAUGCUUGUUUCUUAAUUCAUCUAUUGUUGGUUUACGCCUUUGAAUUUUUGUGGCUAAGAAUUUAACAGAGUCAAGCUAGACUGAUAACAUAAAAAUAUGCAACCGGAAAAGAGGCAAAAUAACAUUAUAAAGCCAGGUAGAACUCACAAACCAUAUUAUACUCCCUCCUAUCCAUAAUAAGUGUCGCAGGUUUGAACUAAGAUUGAACUAACCUUAGUUCAAAACCGCGACACUUAUUUUGAAUUGGAGGGAGUAGCAUUUAGCACAUCAUACUUCUCUUUUACAUUUUUCCUUACCUACUACACUUAGUCUAAAGAUUCUUCCGAUGGAAGAAACAACUGUCAUCAUGACAUUUAACUUUUAUUUGGGACAAUGCCAUAUUAGAGUCAACAGCAGUCAAUAACUAUACCUAUGAUGCAAAAAAAAUCUUUGUAUAUGCAAAAUCAAAGAUAACUUUGUAUUUGUAUUUAUAAAAUGUACAGGAGGCUUUUUGUUACCCCAAACAAACCUUCCACCAAUCAAUUUUGCCAGCCAGCCCCCAGGUAGUUGACUCAAAGCAUAGCCCCAAAAGAAUGAUGAUUGAACUAGGCCAGCAGUCGAUGAGCUCCAACCAUACUGAUGUGACAUUGGAAUAAUCGCAACACUCAAGUUAACCUGAAAAGUAAGAGUAGUUGCAUUUAGCAGAAAUUGCUGAGGAAACAAAAACCUAGAUAAGCUACACAUAGAAGUAAUUAGCUACGCUAAGCGAAGAAGCGCAUAUCAAGACCGCAUUAACAACCUUGAGCAAGUUAGAUGUUUUGCCAGUGAGACAAUUAAUGGUGCAGAAACACUUUGGUCGACAUCGACAGCGACAAAAAAAAAAC
rnacentral:lncRNA from 1 species